rnacentral:lncRNA from 1 species
AUGUGCACCAGGGGCAGAGCCCUGGAAUUUAUAGACUCACCGAGGCUUGAAGGACCUUUCCCCUCCUUGUCUUACAGAUCCUGUGUGCAGUGCAGCCAACAUGGCCGGCCGCCACCCAUUGUCUUCCGAAGGGUAGAGAUGUUCCUGGGAAGGAGCUACCUGGCCAGAGACUACAAUUCCCAGCCCCCCUUGCAGCAAGUUGAAGCCAAGUGGCUGAGUUCUUCCCAAUGGGCCAUGAGAAGAGGGAUGCACUCUACUUCCGGAUGUGGUGCAUUACAGCUUCUGCACUCUCAUCUUCCGCCUCAGUUGGCUGGGUGUUGAUGCCCUGGGCCCCUCAAUGACUCCUGCCUUUAUCCUCCUUUCUCCCACCAUUGGCCUCUCUGUAAGCAAGAAAUAAAAGUAUUUUGUGUGGUGCCA